ACUCCUCAUUUAAUUGUAUGAAUUCCAACUGAAAUCAGUGGGGAGAUUAAACAGGAGUUGGGAGAUUCAAUACUCUGCUGAGUUCUGGCCACCAAUAUCAGUGCACUGCUUAACUCAUAAACUAUAUUUACAAUUUUUGCUCAUAUUCAUCCACUGACACGUUUCAGGUGCUUAUAGAUGCUUCUAAUAGUGUGCCGUAAAUCACUGUAAAGAACUGAAAUACAAUUUUUAGAGUUCAAAUGGGAAUACUCAAUAGAUGUGACUGUUUGCAGGAUCAGGACCUAUUUUCCAGAACAGGUGCUUAAAUGAAAUGAUGAAGUCAUUAUAGUUGAGGAACUUAAUACAGAGAAAUAGCUCACAUUAUUCUAGUACCUAUAGGGCUCUGGCAUAAAUGCCUAAAUUAAAAAUUUGAGAACUUAUUAGGGGGGAGGAUUAGAUUUGGCAUUUCAAUUGGAGAGGAUUUUGUGGAUGUGGGGAAAAAAAAUAACUUCUUUUUUUGUGCAUGUAGAAGAAUUUUUUACCACCUGGAAAAGUUGCAUGGUUUUGACAUCACUUCCAGUUUUUUUCUGCUUUUGAAUUUGCUCCCUUUCUAUGCCACAAGCCUCCUUAGUGCUACAAAAAUCAGUUUGCUCUCAGAACAUGCAUGUGUUCAGGAAAGUACAAAAUGUCUAUCGGAAAGGCAGUAUAGUGCACUCUUUGUGGUCAGAGUGUGGGAAACUCCAUUUAGCUCAUUUUCAUGACAGAAGCACUGAACCACAUUAACACAGAAGGAAGAUGUAGAAAACGUUUAAUGGUACUGGAACGCUUUGUUUAUUCUUAGCUAAGCCUACACGGCUUCCAAAUGAGCCCACUAUGCAGUGUGACUACAUAAGGUUAACUGCUGGGUACAUUAAGCAAAAUACUCUCUCUUAGAUGCUUGUUUAAGUCAUCAUUUCUGACCAUUUAUCAGACUUAAUGUGCUACAGCAGACUGCAGGUCACAAUGUGUCAUUUCCAAAAGAACUUUGACUUUUCCCUUUCCAGGGUCAGGAACCGGUAAUGUUUAGCUGAAAUCACUGCCCUGCACUUCAUAGCUUCCAGUGAGGCUUUGGAGAGUUGCUCUUGCUAGACCAGAGUGCUGGUUCCAAGUAUUCAGUACUAAAAUUGGAGGACACUGUUUAAGUACAUAUAGACAGCUGAGUUUCAAUCUAGCUGCAGAAUAUCCCACUUCAUUUUUGAGAUCAUGAGAGAUACAGGAUGACUGAUUUCCCAAAAUGAUAGUGGGAUAUCUGUUAGAUAAAAAUGCCAAAAACAAGCACCCUCACUUGACAAAGGUUAUUUGUAUGGAAUUCAAGAAAAACUGUAUAUUUGGGGGUACAAUUUUUAACAUGCCAGGUGAGUAUUUCUUCUAUUCCUUAGUUCCAGGUAAAACAAUGCGGCUACUUAUCCAAUGAGUUCUGUGGCUAAGUGAAUUUGCAACAACAAAAAAUGUGCUUGAUGCCUUUACUCUCCUUUUUAAUCUAGAAAAUAUGUGGAAUUUUCAGAUCUAUAUGCUUUCUUCAGGUUGGUCUCACGUUGAUGGAGAUGCAACAAAGAUAAAACAGAGGAAACCUCAUCUGUCCUAAAGAUUAUUCAACCAAUGUUUUAAUAUAUUAAAAAAGAAAGAAAGGAAGAAAGGAAGGAAGAAAGGAAGAAAGGAAGAAAGAAAGAAAGAAAGAAAGAAAGAAGGUGAAGUUAAGCUAUGGUCCCAGUGACUCAGAAGUGCAGAAACCCAUAGCCCAGCUUUGAGAAGAAGAAAGGAAAGGCCACUGCCCUCUGUGGGGCCGUCUGCCUGCUGGGCCCAGCGCUAGGCUGAAAGGAACCUGCGGGUACUUGACAAAAUUGCUUCCUGUGCUGCUGAAAAGUUGUAUGCUGAAAAGUUCACGGAAAGUGAAGGGUUUUUCUCACCCUCAGGAUUUGCUGUGGGCUACCAAAGCAAGCAAACAAGCACUUUCUCAUUUUCUUGUUUGAUAGCACUGAGAAGUAAUCUACAAGUUUGCGAUUACCCCUGUUUUUGGCCAAAAUCAAUAGCAGACCCUGAGUCCUACUCAUGUCCCUACGAUUGUCUCUGUAUUUUAUCCAUCAACAUCUGAAUGCUAAUCACUCAAAAAUCCUGAGAGCGGAGACAGACUCCAAGGGCUUCCCCUCAGAAGGCCUAGAGUCACAGUCUGCCUUGUGCUUUCUGCGAUGCCCCUUCAGCGUCAUGUCCCUUCAUUCAUAGCUGGACAGUGUGAGCCAAAGUGGAGGAGAUGUCUUUUCAGCCACACCUGGUAGAAGAAAUCUGCAACCAUGGCACUUGACACAGAUCCUCUUUGAUGCUGAACUGACAAGUUACUUGCAGAGUUUGAAUGGAGCAAAGGGAAAUUUUUCCAGAGGAAGCUACAAAUUUGCAGCAACUGCCAAGGAGGUGUGCAGCCAGUGCAAAGGUGUUACAUCCAGAGGUGCUAAGUACCUGAGCUCCUUCCUGACACCAGUGGGGCAGAAUGCUCUGCAUCUCUCUGAAGCUCUGUGUCUGGACCUCUCUCAGCUGACCCAUGGUUCUUUGUACCUUCUUGCUCCCUGCCUUGGCACCCAGGGCCACAGUUUAUAAAUGCACAGGGUCCAACUCUGCCCCAUCCCCUUGUUGCUGCUGCUGCUGGAACUAUUCACUUUUGGAUGUCUUGCUGAGAGAAGCUUUGGGAUAUCUUUGCAACAGAUAUAACAAACGGGUUUGUGUCUUAAAUCAGGAGGUGGACAUCAUUUCUGACAGAAGUGAGACCUAAUAUUCCUCAAAGAUUUCUUCUAAUGGAGACAAGAAAUGUGAAGAUGAUAACACAAAUAUUCAUACUGAGAGAUGAAAAUAAGGGGAAUAAGAAUCCUCUGAAUUUCAGGUUCUCAGAGAAUAAAUUCAGGAUCCAGGAAGAGAAACACUACGGUAACCUGGGUAAAACUCUUUCCUAAGUAGGCUUCUUUUUACUUUGGACUUUAUACUUUUUACUUGCCUUCUUCUCUUUUUUUCUUUUUUUUUUUUUCCUGGUAACUCUGCCUCUGAAGACUUUGAGUAUGUGACUGACCAGAGGAUCUGGUUGUAGAAGAGAUUAUAGAACAAAAUGACAGAAUGGUCCAGUCAUCAAGACUCAGCAGUAUUUAAAAGAACUGAAAGAUAAAAUACUGGAAUCAAUAAGGGUGCUAUGAAACUAAUUUUUUAAAACUGUACUUCUUCUUGAAGAUUGGAAAGAGACAUGUGUGAUGCUAAUUUCUAAAAAGCCUUUGUGAGAUAUUCAGGAAACAUAUCUGGAGGUCUCUUGCCCACGCCAGGCAAACUGAGUCAUGAAACACAGAGUUAGAGGACACCUUGCAACUUACGAUUCCUGGAGAAUAGUAAAUAACAUUUUUAUAUGAGAAAGUGUGUGAAAAGACAGAGUUCUCUGAAGAUGUCUAGAAGCAUAUUAGGAUCUGCCUGAUAAGUAUACUUGGAUUUCCAGAGGAUUUUCAGUGAAAUCCCUCAUCAGAAGAUUUAAAUGUAUUUAAUGCUUGAAUAAUUGGUUACAGGAUAGGAAUCAAAGAGCAAAUGUUCAACUCUGGCAAUAGAUAGAGACUAUCAGGGGUUUUCCCUGGGGGUCUAUGUUAAAAUGUGUGCAGCACAACCGUAUUUUUAUACAACGUGGAAAACAAAAGUGGCAAAUGACAAAGUGUGCUGAAGAUGAUACGUUAUUAUGUGUAGCAAGGAUUAUAGCCUUGUGCAUUUGCUCUUUAUAAAUACCUGUGUUCUUGUUUUUUUCCUUGUCUUUCUAACACCUUCACAUCUUUUUAAGGGUUACCAGUGCAUGGUAACUACAGCACAAUGAGCAGUGUGACCAUUCAUAAAACUGCUUCACAGACAGUGCCUCAGUUCUUAUGGGUCAAUGAAUGGACUGGCCCUUGGGCAGUGGUACUGGCCAUGAGUCUGGUUGAGUUUUUUGCACACAUCCUUUGGUUAUUUGUACAAGUGUAAGGGAAAGAGAGGCCAAACGUAAGACACAGAAAACAAUCAAGACAGAUUAAAAAAGCAGCAGCCUUACUCAGGCAUUAAGGACAGCACCCCUUCUCUUUUAUUUCAG
ensembl:lncRNA